AACCUUGUGGCACAAUGGUAGCACGUCUGACUCCAGAUCAGAAGGCUGCAUGUUCGAAUCAUGUCGGGGUCA
rfam:Colius striatus contig35938, whole genome shotgun sequence.